AUGGACCAUUCCUCUAUCUCGUGAAUUGGAACGAUACAGGGAAGAUUAACAUGACCCAUGUGCAAGGUGUAUGCCAUAAAAAGAGAAAUGAUCCAAUUUUUA